rnacentral:misc_RNA from 1 species
UUGUGGAGGAGGACGCCGAAGGUGGGGCUAAUGACUGGGGUGAAGUCGUAACAAGGUAGCCGUACCGGAAGGUGCGGCUGGAUCACCUCCUAACAGGGAGACAACAAAAUGUUUAAUAUUAUUAUUUUGUCACCUUAGGUCGAUCGGUAUCUCACGUUCUUAAUUUGUUAAGAAUUUCAUUUCCUAAGUUUUUCUAGGUCACACCCAUUAUUUUUCCUGGGCCAUUAGCUCAGGUGGUUAGAGCGCACCCCUGAUAAGGGUGAGGUCCCUGGUUCAAGUCCAGGAUGGCCCAUAUCUCUAUGUUGGGGGUAUAGCUCAGUUGGUAGAGCGCCUGCUUUGCAAGCAGGAUGUCAGCGGUUCGAGUCCGCUUACCUCCACUGAUUACCACCUCUUCCAUAACCGGUAGAAAGGAAAUGUUUUGAGUUGUGAUCAUUAUUCUGAACGAAUCUAGCUUCCUAAUGAAAUCAUUAAGAUGCUGGACUCAUUGAAUUAAUUUCAUUGUUUUCAGAGAACCUUGACAACUGCAUAGAUUAUUUUUAAAGACAAUAAGCAUCUUUAAUGAUGCAGAUUUAUUAUUUGUGCGAAUGCAUUAAUAACAAUUCUAUUAAGCUGAUGCUUCAAUUUUGAAGUUAUUGGUCAAGCUACAA